AGUGUGCGGACGAAGAAUGUUUAUCUGAAGCCCAAGACUGUCGGCAGUGAGCAAAGUUCCUUUGAAAAAUGACAGAUUAAGUCAAUGGCAAUUGCCAUCGCAGACAUAUAAACAAAAUUGCGGCGCAGCAUUGUUGAACGAGAACUGAGCUGUUACCGCGGCGCACUGCGUCGCAAGAUGGAAUUUUCCAGCAAGUGAAGGCAUUGAUAUAUAUUUUGCAGCGUAGCAUCUAGCUAUUAUUAAGAAUCGGC